UACGUAGGUGGCAAGCGUUGUCCGGAUUUACUGGGCGUAAAGAGCGCGCAGGCGGUCGUUCAAGUCGCGUGUGAAAGCCCCCGGCUCAACUGGGGAGGGUCACGCGAUACUGAUCGACUGGAAGGCAGGAGAGGGUAGUGGAAUUCCCGGUGUAGUGGUGAAAUGCGUAGAUAUCAGGAGGAACACCGGUGGCGAAGGCGGAUCUCUGGGCCUUACCUGACGCUGAGGCGCGAAAGCUAGGGGAGCGAACAGG
rnacentral:rRNA from 1 species